rnacentral:rRNA from 1 species
ACGAAGGGUCCAAGCGUUGUUCGGAAUCAUUGGGCGUAAAGCGCGCGCAGGCGGAUCAGUAAGUCAGGUGUGAAAUCUCGAGGCUCAACCUCGAUACUGCGCCUGAAACUACUAGUCUAGAGUGUCGGAGGGGGUAGGGGAAUUUCACGUGUAGGGGUAAAAUCCGUAGAGAUGUGAAGGAACACCGGAGGCGAAGGCGCCUACCUGGACGACUACUGACGCUGAGGCGCGAAAGCGUGGGGAGCAAACAGGA